CCGAAAAUAGUCGGCGUCGCCCUGCUUGAAAUGGCGACGGGGUAGGCCUGGUCCUCCUCCUCCUCAGUCCUGCACGCCUCCCUCCAGUCCCCGCUCGCAGCCGCACAGGCUCAGCGCAGCGCGCAGCGCAGGCAGCCGCACAGGGACAGGGAAAACAUAGCUCAGGUGCCCGUGGCUGCCGACGGGGCCCUCCCGCCGUACCUCCCUCUCCGCUUGUUUAAGGCCCCCCAUUGGCUGCCGCCUUUUCCUUGUGAUAAGUCGUUUCUUAACACGCUUUAAAGCCAGCCCCCCCUAGACUAGUGGCGCUUCUUUUUUCCUUGGCUCCGCUUUACCGUUCAUCGAUCAGAUUUCGGCAACCUAAACAAAAGAAGAUCAGAUUUCGGCGGUGCGGUGGCCAUUUUGUUCGUCGCUGCUUGUGUUAUGCUACGUAUACAUAUAAACUCCAAAUUUAAAAUGACCUCGGGGCUCGGGCGGGGUACAUACAUCCACAUCCCACUCAUUGCCAGUGCAACACAAACACUCUGAGCGUACACAAGUGGGGGGUUAGUUUUGUGAGAGGAAAACCGACCGAGAAUUCAGCGCCACUUGCACCGGCCGGCGGCACCGUUGCUUCCUUCCUGCGAUCCUCACCGUCACCCCUCAUCACCGACCACCAUCUGGCUUCUCAUUUUCGCUCCGUUUCAACAUGAUUCAGUCAAUCAAAAGCAAAAGGAUAAACCCAUGUUGUAAUUCCACCAAUCAAGAACUCACCUUUUCUGCUAAUAUGUUGAGCCGACAUGGUGCAGGCAGGCAGCGUCAGGCGAGGGGGGGCAUUCCGGUAAACACGCACCUGCAAGUGAAAGCAUCGCCGCACCGGCAGGCAUCUCUCCCUCUCUCACCGUGCGUGGGGGCACGCUCGUCAUUUCCGGCUGCCGUGCGAGCGAGCAUGGCCCCGACCCGAGGGCGCUCACUCCCACACGCACACACAGACGAGACGCGGAGGAGUAUAAAAUUUGCUCCACGCACACACAAUCACAGAGCCCCCCAAUCCGUGGAUUAAACUAGUUCCGCAAAAGCAGAGAGGCCAAGGCCACCACCACCGCCUCCCUCCUUGGUUUUGCUGCUCGAUCUCCUCUUCCCUUUUCUCUCUCCCUCGCUCGCCGUAAAGAAGCCAUAGGCGGAUAGGAGAGGAGAGGAGNNNNNNN
rnacentral:lncRNA from 1 species